GUAGCUGGUUUGGGUCAACAAGAAGAUCAAUCUUGCUCCAGUAUACAGCAGGCAUCAUGUAGCUUCACCCCAGAAGUUUCACCAUUCUCUUGCUCAGGACUGAACCAAAGUAAGCAACAGAGGGAUCAGGUUCAUUCUGAUGACUCCAGGAUUAAACCUAUCAUGACUAAUUUGAAGC